rnacentral:tRNA from 1 species
GGUGGCUUAGUGGUAGAGCACUUGCCUUGCAUGCAGGAAGCCCUGGGUUCGAUUCCUCAGCACCA